UACGUAGGGUGCAAGCGUUGUCCGGAAUUAUUGGGCGUAAAGAGCUCGUAGGCGGCCUGUUGCGUCCGCUGUGAAAUCCCAGGGCUCAACCCUGGGCGUGCAGUGGAUACGGGCAGGCUGGAGGCAGGCAGGGGAGAACGGAAUUCCCGGUGUAGCGGUGAAAUGCGUAGAGAUGUGGAGGAACACCGAUGGCGAAGGCAGCCCCUGGGUCAAGAUUGACGCUCAUGCACGAAAGGCGUGGGAGCAAACAGGAUUACG
rnacentral:rRNA from 1 species